GUUACAACCAUUGAGGGAUGUAGAUAUAGACAAGCUAUCUCAGUAGGUAUUGGAGGUCGUCUGGAUGUUGAUACAAAUUUUGGCAUUCAAAAAGCUUUUCUUCCUCAGGUAUAUUGAGAUGAUUUCUUUGGAGCAAUUCUUGACAACAUUUGUAGUUGAGGCCUUUAGAAUGGAAGAAUGCAUUUCACUAAUUUUUGUAUACAUUUCUUGUUUUGUAUUUAGUGAUAAAGGAAUCUGAAUUGGGCAUAAAUUAUGUUGUAAUAUGAUUUCUUAAGCCUAGACUAGUAGACUAAAUAUUGUAAUUACAUUUGAGUAAUUAAUAAAAAUCUAUUUAUGUUAC